CGCCCCCUUUCCUUGUCUGAGUUCUUUUCAGAAAGCUCUGCGAUUUUUCCGGCCGACGCCCUGACUCCCAACCCAAGAAGAGUAUCAGCCCUCGCCCCAUACACUUCUAUGUCCACCGUUUCGCAAAGUCCUCCCUCUUCCAUCCCCUCUUCGAUCAAGAACCAAGGAUAGGAUUAGACGAGGGUUCCUCCCUCGCUUCCGAGAACCCCGAACCGAUCCCAGAGCAAUUCCAAGAUCUCCGUUCUCUUCGGUUCCACAUUCGAGGGAUUGGCGCUCGUGGUUCGGGAAGCGAUCCAAGAAUCCGAUGAGAUGGGGAAGCCCGAAGGGGACUGGGGGGCUCAGUCGCAACCCGCCACCGCCGACCUCCUCCGCUGCCUCAGCGAAUCGCAGUCCAAGUGGGUGUGCGAGACGGUGAAUGGGUCGCACCAGAACACAGCGAAGGGGUGCUCCCUGGUGAAGGGGAUGGGUCCCGGGAUGUACAUAACCAGAGACAUCUUCAGCGUCGGCGGCUACCCGUGGGCGGUCUACUUCUACCCGGAAUGGCAAGAACUUCGGGGACAACUCCUUCUAUGUGCCGAUGUUCAUCGCCCUCGCAAAUGAGGGCACGGGGGUGCUAUUCCUGUUCAAGCUGCUCGACCAGAGCGGCAAGGGGAAGCACAAGGUGCACAGCAACUUCGAUCCGGCGCUGGCUGGUUAUUGAAUGCAGGGGGUGGGCGAAUGUGGUACGUUGCAGGAACAUAUUUGGUUCUCGAAUGUUUUAUUGUUUCUUUUCCUAUUUGCAGCUGUGUUCCAGGCUUCGCUAUUCGUUUAUUUAUUUUGCUUCUUGGUUGGAUUCAAUAGAAUCGGAGAAUGUGAUAUGCUUCUAGCUAUAGUUUCUUUAUAGCUAUUUGUUUUUCAAAUCUCCCAUCAUGUUUUCAUGUGUCACUAUGAUAUGAUUUUGUGCUACAAUUCUUCUUAAAUUGUUUGUGCUGGAAUGUUUUAGAUAGAAUACAAAUAAUGCUUCUUGAUUUAUGUGUUUAAACUGGGCAAGGGGCAUAGAUGCCGGCAACUGUAAAGAAAGAGGAUAGGCUGAGGUCAAAUUGAGUUCUUGACGAUGUUUUGACUCUUGCUAAGUUUUCUUAUUUAAGCUCUACUGAGUUCAGCAUAUGUCAGCAUUGGUUCUUGGAACAAUAAAAGCCCAGACUUUAAGCAGUCAGAGAUAUCUAAGUAAUAUACGAUAUUAUCUGAUUUCCUCACAAUUGAUGCCUAUAGAGGAGGAUUUUAAUGACAUUUUCUGAUUUUCUUGUAAGAAAUGCUCAUAGAUAAUUAAUUAACAAAUUAUUUGACAGAAAUUCAGGGAUGUUGAAAAGGGAUUUUUUUUAGUAGAAAAAACAGCUUAGUUACAAAUGUAAGUGGAGCACUGAAAAUUUCUGUAAUAAAAGCCCAACCAAUAUGGGAGUCAGCAGGAGUGUGAUCGGUUACAGAUUAAAAUCUGAUGAGACGCGCUGUCAAAAGCAUUUCAUUUUGUGAGACCAAUCCACUCCCUAUUCUGCAGUGUCAUCUACUAGGCAAAGGUGUCCUGUGCUGGACAAAUUUGUUGUCGAUCUUUUAUCAGCCCUGACCUGACUGGUAUUUUCUCAAUAAGGUGUUCUGUUUUGUAUUAUCUGUGCUGGUUCUCUACUUUGUGCACACCAGGUAUAUUUCCACUUCUGUACCUUUUUGACUCAUAACUAUAUUUUCUUUUUUAAUGCGAGGUUUUAUAGAUUAUUCUGAAAAUCUUUUGUUAGGCAUUAUAAACAUUUUCUUCAGGACCGCAUUGGAAACAUCAGAUUAUCUUAUGGAUGAUUGCCUAGUCAUGCGUUGCACAGUGGUUGUUAGAAAUUGCAUAGAAAUACCGAGGCAAUUUUCUAUACCUUUGCCACCACCAAACAUGGGUAAGGGUCUUAAGGAGCUGUUGGAAUCUUGUAUUGGUUCUAACAUUACUCUGAGGCUGGUGAUGAGACAUUCCAAGCUCAUAAGCACAUUACUCUGAGGUUGGUGAUGAGACAUUCCAAGCUCAUAAGCAGAUUCUUGCUGCUUGCUCGCCUGUGUCUGAUGCCUAAUUCUUUGGGCUAACUGGGGAUCCAGAGAUGGAUGGAGUGAUUGUGCAAGAUGCUAAACCUCCUGUUUCAAGGCCGGACCGAACCGGCUGGUACGGCCAGUUCAUCUCACCAUUCCAUCUGUUCAUAAAAGGGUGAUAUGUUUCCGUCAAUUGCAUCUAACAGCUUGGUUUGGGAGAUGCAAGGAGAUGCAAUUGACAGAAACAUACCGCUGCCUGUUCCAGUCAAGACAUACCACCCUACUUCUGUAUACCGUGGCUGGUGGCAUAUGAUCGUGCUGGUCAAAUCACCUACUUGAGUGUGAUUUCCUCAAGGAUUUGUUUACUUCAUAGAUUUUGUCGAGAGUUUACAGAUUUCACCCAAAGAGAUGUAUUUAUCGGUAGCUCCAUAUAUCACAAGCAUGCAAUCAUUCUUUUAAAGUCUCA